rnacentral:rRNA from 1 species
UUAAGCGACUAAGCGUACACGGUGGAUGCCCUGGCAGUCAGAGGCGAUGAAGGACGUGCUAAUCUGCGAUAAGCGUCGGUAAGGUGAUAUGAACCGUUAUAACCGGCGAUUUCCGAAUGGGGAAACCCAGUGUGUUUCGACACACUAUCAUUAACUGAAUCCAUAGGUUAAUGAGGCGAACCGGGGGAACUGAAACAUCUAAGUACCCCGAGGAAAAGAAAUCAACCGAGAUUCCCCCAGUAGCGGCGAGCGAACGGGGAGCAGCCCAGAGCCUGAAUCAGUGUGUGUGUUAGUGGAAGCGUCUGGAAAGGCGCGCGAUACAGGGUGACAGCCCCGUACACAAAAAUGCACAUGCUGUGAGCUCGAUGAGUAGGGCGGGACACGUGGUAUCCUGUCUGAAUAUGGGGGGACCAUCCUCCAAGGCUAAAUACUCCUGACUGACCGAUAGUGAACCAGUACCGUGAGGGAAAGGCGAAAAGAACCCCGGCGAGGGGAGUGAAAAAGAACCUGAAACCGUGUACGUACAAGCAGUGGGAGCCUCUUUUAUGGGGUGACUGCGUACCUUUUGUAUAAUGGGUCAGCGACUUAUAUUCUGUAGCAAGGUUAACCGAAUAGGGGAGCCGAAGGGAAACCGAGUCUUAACUGGGCGUUAAGUUGCAGGGUAUAGACCCGAAACCCGGUGAUCUAGCCAUGGGCAGGUUGAAGGUUGGGUAACACUAACUGGAGGACCGAACCGACUAAUGUUGAAAAAUUAGCGGAUGACUUGUGGCUGGGGGUGAAAGGCCAAUCAAACCGGGAGAUAGCUGGUUCUCCCCGAAAGCUAUUUAGGUAGCGCCUCGUGAAUUCAUCUCCGGGGGUAGAGCACUGUUUCGGCAAGGGGGUCAUCCCGACUUACCAACCCGAUGCAAACUGCGAAUACCGGAGAAUGUUAUCACGGGAGACACACGGCGGGUGCUAACGUCCGUCGUGAAGAGGGAAACAACCCAGACCGCCAGCUAAGGUCCCAAAGUCAUGGUUAAGUGGGAAACGAUGUGGGAAGGCCCAGACAGCCAGGAUGUUGGCUUAGAAGCAGCCAUCAUUUAAAGAAAGCGUAAUAGCUCACUGGUCGAGUCGGCCUGCGCGGAAGAUGUAACGGGGCUAAACCAUGCACCGAAGCUGCGGCAGCGACGCUUAUGCGUUGUUGGGUAGGGGAGCGUUCUGUAAGCCUGCGAAGGUGUGCUGUGAGGCAUGCUGGAGGUAUCAGAAGUGCGAAUGCUGACAUAAGUAACGAUAAAGCGGGUGAAAAGCCCGCUCGCCGGAAGACCAAGGGUUCCUGUCCAACGUUAAUCGGGGCAGGGUGAGUCGACCCCUAAGGCGAGGCCGAAAGGCGUAGUCGAUGGGAAACAGGUUAAUAUUCCUGUACUUGGUGUUACUGCGAAGGGGGGACGGAGAAGGCUAUGUUGGCCGGGCGACGGUUGUCCCGGUUUAAGCGUGUAGGCUGGUUUUCCAGGCAAAUCCGGAAAAUCAAGGCUGAGGCGUGAUGACGAGGCACUACGGUGCUGAAGCAACAAAUGCCCUGCUUCCAGGAAAAGCCUCUAAGCAUCAGGUAACAUCAAAUCGUACCCCAAACCGACACAGGUGGUCAGGUAGAGAAUACCAAGGCGCUUGAGAGAACUCGGGUGAAGGAACUAGGCAAAAUGGUGCCGUAACUUCGGGAGAAGGCACGCUGAUAUGUAGGUGAAGUCCCUCGCGGAUGGAGCUGAAAUCAGUCGAAGAUACCAGCUGGCUGCAACUGUUUAUUAAAAACACAGCACUGUGCAAACACGAAAGUGGACGUAUACGGUGUGACGCCUGCCCGGUGCCGGAAGGUUAAUUGAUGGGGUUAGCGCAAGCGAAGCUCUUGAUCGAAGCCCCGGUAAACGGCGGCCGUAACUAUAACGGUCCUAAGGUAGCGAAAUUCCUUGUCGGGUAAGUUCCGACCUGCACGAAUGGCGUAAUGAUGGCCAGGCUGUCUCCACCCGAGACUCAGUGAAAUUGAACUCGCUGUGAAGAUGCAGUGUACCCGCGGCAAGACGGAAAGACCCCGUGAACCUUUACUAUAGCUUGACACUGAACAUUGAGCCUUGAUGUGUAGGAUAGGUGGGAGGCUUUGAAGUGUGGACGCCAGUCUGCAUGGAGCCGACCUUGAAAUACCACCCUUUAAUGUUUGAUGUUCUAACGUGGACCCGUAAUCCGGGUUGCGGACAGUGUCUGGUGGGUAGUUUGACUGGGGCGGUCUCCUCCUAAAGAGUAACGGAGGAGCACGAAGGUUGGCUAAUCCUGGUCGGACAUCAGGAGGUUAGUGCAAUGGCAUAAGCCAGCUUGACUGCGAGCGUGACGGCGCGAGCAGGUGCGAAAGCAGGUCAUAGUGAUCCGGUGGUUCUGAAUGGAAGGGCCAUCGCUCAACGGAUAAAAGGUACUCCGGGGAUAACAGGCUGAUACCGCCCAAGAGUUCAUAUCGACGGCGGUGUUUGGCACCUCGAUGUCGGCUCAUCACAUCCUGGGGCUGAAGUAGGUCCCAAGGGUAUGGCUGUUCGCCAUUUAAAGUGGUACGCGAGCUGGGUUUAGAACGUCGUGAGACAGUUCGGUCCCUAUCUGCCGUGGGCGCUGGAGAACUGAGGGGGGCUGCUCCUAGUACGAGAGGACCGGAGUGGACGCAUCACUGGUGUUCGGGUUGUCAUGCCAAUGGCACUGCCCGGUAGCUAAAUGCGGAAGAGAUAAGUGCUGAAAGCAUCUAAGCACGAAACUUGCCCCGAGAUGAGUUCUCCCUGACUCCUUGAGAGUCCUGAAGGAACGUUGAAGACGACGACGUUGAUAGGCCGGGUGUGUAAGCGCAGCGAUGCGUUGAGCUAACCGGUACUAAUGAACCGUGAGGCUUAACCUU